UGUGGCCUCUCCCAUUGCAGAGCACAGGCUCCAGACGCGCAGGCUCAGCGGCCAUGGCUCACGGGCCCAGCCGCUCCGCAGCAUGUGGGAUCUUCCCAGACCGGGGCACGAACCCGUGUCCCCUGCAUCGGCAGGCGGACUCUCAACCACUGCGCCACCAGGGAAGCCCCAAAGGCUAAAAUUUUAACUACAAUAAAGGGGAAAAAAAGGACUGAGUUUACUUUAUUUGUAACUUAUCAUCUUAGCAAGUCGCUAUGCAUCCUCCAGAUAUAAGAAAGAGGGGAAGGAAAGAGGAAGAAAGGAUCACAACAAGUCUGGGAGAGCUAGAUUGCUCUUCUGAUUUUCCUUAUUCUUUGUCUUAGUCAGUUUGAGCUGCUGUAACAAAAUACUAUAGACUGGGGGGCAUAAACAACAAAUAUUUAUUUCUCACAAUUCUGGAGGUUGCUAAGUCCAAAAUCAAGGUGCCAGAAUAAUCUAUGUCUGGUAAGCGUCCUCCUCCUGGUUUUCAGAUGGCCGCCAACCUACGCUAAGCUCUUCUUAUAAGGGCACUAAUCCCACCAUGGGGGCUCCAACCUCACGAUCCCAUCUAAACCUAAUUACUUCCCCAAAGGCCCACCUCUGAUACCAUCAUACUGAGGAUUAGGGCUUCAACAUAUGACUUUAGGGGGGACACAAACAUUCAGUUUAUAUUAUUCUUCUACAGUGUUUUAUUUGGCAACAAACAAAGGAGAGAGCCAAAAUUAAUGUCCUCUGGCUAAAUGGCUGGCUGGCUGGCUGGCUGGCUGGCUGGAUGGAUGGUGGAAUCUUGCCUUCAUCAUGAAGGCUCACAGAGGCCAUCCCCCAAGGCUGUGGAACUGCUCACUGCUCACCUCUGGUUCUAAUACAAUGCAUUCAUGAAACUGAGCCCCUUGUGCUUUUGCCUGUCAGACCACAAGAACCUACCUGUGCUAAUAAGUAGUUGGAAGACAAAGAGCACUUGCUACCGAUUACCCUCCUUGUGCGGUGGGGAGGGGGAGGGGUGAAUAUUCCUUGUCCUUCCCCCGUCCUGAGUGGAGACCUGUAGCUGUGGCUGUAGGGACCCAAGGGGAUGGUGGCUCCCCUGCUCUCAGAGGAUAGGAAAUAAUAAUGAACUGUGUGGCCAUUCCAAAUGCACUACCUCGAUUUUAUUCCUCCAUAACAAACAAAAAAGUCCCUGAGAAAUAGCUGGCAGGGCAGGUGUUCUACAUCCCCUUUUCUUGGGGGGGGGGGCGUGUAACUUGGAUACAGGGAGUUGAGGGCCUGGCUGGGGUCACAGUUAAGAGCGUGUCCCCUGGCUCAGAGAGCAGAGUACCACUGGGCUCUAGAAGCCAGCCUGGAGGGGAAGUGCCCAGCCUACCAGGGCAGCCAAUGUUUACUGAGCAGUUCCUAUGUUCCAGGUGCCGUGCACAUCAGCUGGUGUUUAAUUCUUGCAGCAGCUUUGAGUUAGGCGGGCUGUGUGGCUGGGAGGUCAGUUGUGCACAUUACGAACGACCCUGCUGAGGGAGGUGGAGACUGGGCUGCAGAGGACCAGACUCCACACUAAGGAUCCAUCCACUGGAUCUCAGCAACCUGGACAUGACUGGUGUCUACAUGUAACACUUGGAGCUAUGGCAGCUAUCCUGUAACCAUGAGGACACAAGUUUAAGAGCUAAGCCAAUACACUGAGGAUGGCAGAGCAAAGGUUGGUUAUGAAAAAGCUCUUGUCUCCUGCAGCGACCCAGAGAAGAGGACGACUGUGGGCCAAAAAGAGGUUAAGAAGUUUUGCAGGACCUCUUCAUGGAAACAAGGCCAGGCCAAUAAAACACUAUGUCAGCUGAGUCACAGAACAUUGGAAUGACAGAGCUACAGGACUGGAAGGGACCUCAGAGAUCUGUCACUCUCACCUGACUGAUGAAGACACGGAGACCCAGAGAGGUGAAGAUCCCACCUCCUCAGUCCCAGGGCCAGCAGCGCAGUCUGGGUGAAGAGCUCCUCCCAGAGUUGUGCAGUGCGCGACCACCACCUGUGCAGCCACGUGGCCCUGCACAUCCUCCCCGGGCACAGUGAUGGAAUAAGGUGGUCCAGUCAGAGGGCAUCUCAGGACUUCUGGGAAUGUUGGCACAAUGACUCCCACUCUUUUCCCACUCCCUGGAAUAAUGAAGCCCAAGAGGCUGCUGGUACUGUCGUACAGCCACAAGGGGAGAGCCUGCCCGAGGUCAUCUGGAGGUCAGAGAUGAAAGAAGAGAAGAUGGCUUGGUUCAGUCCCUACAAUCCAACCAUGCCUGAAUGUAGAUCUGCCUCAUAGACUGCUUUCUGCUCAAUUGUUUGAGCCAGUUAGUGUCAGUUGUUCUGCCACUUGCUAACUUGCUAUGAUUAAUAGAGGGGUUCAAAGUGCUGUAAAGAUCUAAGGAGGAAGAUUUCAGAUCACAAAAGCCUUCCUGAGCCACGUUACAUCAAAGGAGGAUCUGAAAGGAAGAAUGGGAUGUGGACAUGCUGUGAAGGGAGAGUCAAUUCAGGGAAGGAAAAGACCUUGAACAGAUGCCUGAGAUAGGCAAGCCUGUGGUGCGGAGCGUUCGGGGAAUUAGAUUAAGUCAAUUUGGCUAGAACGUUGGGUACCUGAAGGGAGUAAUGGGAAUUAGAUUGAAGAUGUACGUUCCUACCAGUCUGAAGUUUGUUCUUUUGUGUGCAGAUAAUUAGGAGUAGAGCAAUCAGGGUUGGGUUUCAGAAUGAAUUCAGUAAAGGAGAGAGAUGAGAACGAAACGAGAGAACUGUUUGGGAGGCUAUUUGUAAUUGUCGAUGCAAGAGAGUCCAUGGCUUCUAGGGUGCCCAUAGUCCCAACUUGCCCGGAACUAAGGGAUUUCCCAGGAUGUGGGACUUUUGGUGCUGAAACUGGGACAGAGUCGCGCAAACUGGGAUGCUUAAUCACCCUAAACCAUAAAGGAAAAUGUUGAUAGAUUUCACUGAGUGAAAAUAACAUAGGACUAAAAAGAUAGGAAACAGUCUACAUACAUCAAAAUUUCAGUAUUUUUCUCCAGAAGAAAAUUAAAAUAAAUGAAAAUCCCUUUUGAGACUUCCUGAUUCCUAUCAUCCAACCUCCCCGUACCCUGGAUACCACCAGCACCAGGAACCUCAUCACCUCUGAAUUCCCAAACUUCAACAUCCUACUUUAACCAAAGCCAUUCAUAUUUUCAGCACUCUCUUGUCCUUUCAGAGCCCUCCAGUACCUUCACUGCUCCCCUUUCUCCUUUCUGUCUUCAUCCUCUUCUUUAUCUAGCCAAGACUACUGCAUCAACCAACUCAGUCAAUAUUAUACCUUUUGGUCCUCUGCCCUUGGCAAAACUUUGGACUCUGGGUCAGUUCCACCAUCGAUCCCCUUCUACAUAAAGACUGUAGAUAAACCUUGGAUGAAAGCUCAAUGCUGCCCACCAAUGCUUCUUUCCCUUCCUCUCUCCCACUUCCCCACUCAACUCUUCAAGCCCUGCCCUACCACUGAUGUGGCUGUGUGACCUUGGGCCAGUUGUGAGGGUUAAACACAUUUACAUGUGGAAAAACACUUAGCACAGUGCUUGGCAGGUGAUAAGUACCCUGUAAGUGUUAGCUUUUACUCACACAAGGAUUUCAACUGCACACUUAGAAGGAUUGAAUCAGUGUCUCAAGCAGUGUAGGUCACACCACUGGGGUGUUUGAUAAAUCAAUCACACGGGGCAUGAAAUCACUGUGCAAAAUUUUACUUUUGCAAAGAUUUAACCAGACAUUUCAUCAAGGAAGACAGAAAUAAGCUCAUGAGAGGCUGCUCAACACCAUUAGUCAUUAGGAAAAUGAAAAUUAAAACUACAGUGAUCUCCACUACGCACGUAUUAGAAUGUCUAACAUUUUAGAAACCAGUCUUAACCAAGGAUUGGCAAAGAUGUGGAGGAAUUAGAACUCUUACGUGCUGCUGGUGGGAAUGUAAAAUGUUUGAGAAAACAGGUUUACAGUUUUUUUUCAUUUUGUGGCAAUGUCUUAAAAUGUUAAAUAUACACCUACCAUAAGACCUAGCCAUUCCCCUCCUAGGUAUUUAGCCAAGAGAAAAGAAAGCAUACGUCCACACAAGAUGUGUACACAGAUGAUCAUAGCAACCUUAACUGUAAUAGCCCAAGGCUGGAAACAACCCAAAUGUCUCUGGACAGGGACAUGGCUGGAGAAACAAAUUGGGUACAUCCAUGCUAUGGAUAUAACCCUCAGCAAUAAAAAAGAAUAAACUAUUGAUACGACAACAUGGAUAAUUUGCAAAAUUAUUAUGCUGAGUCAAAGAAGCCAGAAGAAAAAAGAGGACAUACUGCAUGAUUCCAUUUGUAUAAAAUUCUAGAAAAUGCAAACUAAUCUAUAAUGACAGAAGGCAAGUCAGUGGUCUCUUGGUAAAUAGGAGGGAGGUGAAGAGGGACAGAAGUGAGUAAUUACAAAUGGGCUUGAGAAAACUUCUGAGGGUGAUGGAUGCGUUAUCCUGAUUGUGUUGGUGGUUUCAUGGGUGUAUACAUAUGUCAAAACUUAUCAAAUUGCACACUUUAAAUAUAUGUAGUUUAUUGUGUGUGAAUUAUACCUUAACAAAGCUAUUUAAAAAUUACU